AAUCCUAAGCGCCCCUCGGUCCAGAGUCGAAACCUUAAGGCUCUAUCCGCUCGCCCGCUCCAUUGCUCCUCUUCCGAUUAUAAGAAGAAGAUCCCCAGGUAGGGGGAAAAACAAAGAAAAAAAUCCCUCUAUCGCCCCCACCCCGAUUCUCUUCUCUUCUAUCUUGGAUCAUUCUCAAAAGAAAAUUCUUAUAUUUGUCUUCUCAAAAAUAACUCUCCAAUUGUUCGGUCGCGGCUCCGUUAGGGUUUUGUUAUCUGGAAGCAUGAGGACUAGAAAUGCCGACGCUCCCAAAUCUGGGGCGGCCAAGAAGACGCCUCCACCCAAGAAAGACGGUUCGGCCACCGCUGCCGCCGAUAAAACACCGGAGGCCGCGCCCAAAUCCGCGCCCAAAUCGGGAGCCAGGUCUGCCAAGGGCGCCGCCAAGCAGUCCGCAGCCAAGGCGGCGGCGGCCGCCUCUUCGCCCGUCCCUGUACCCGCCACGCCCGAUGCCAAACCAGACCCCAAAGUCGACGAAGUGGCAACUCUGGCCGAUGAGAAGAAGCUGGCUUCGCCCGUGAAGUCUCCUCCAGAGAAGAAGGCGACCGGCAAGGCCAAAUCGCUGUUGGGUGGGAGGGCUGCUGCAGCUGCUCCUAAGGUGGAGGAGGCUGUGGAAGAGCCAGCACCACCAGAGGUGAUGUAUGCCACGGAAGAGCCACUUUCGAAAGCUGAAGAAGAUGCGAGUAAGGAGGAGGACGAAGAGCCAAAGGCCAAAGCUGUCCUGUAUGCGAAGGCCGAAGCUGUCACGUAUGCGAAGGGCAAAGCGGUCCCAGAUGCCAAGGACGAGCCAGAGAGCAAUCCAGUCAAGAAUGAGGAAGAAGAGGCUGCCGGAGAGCGGCUGAUGGAGGAGGAGGGGGAGCCAGAGGGUUUCCAAGAGCCUGGUGAUGAGGAGUUUGUGGGCGGGGAGGAGGAGGCAGCAGGUAGAGAAGGAGAGGAGACAGUGGUUGGGGAAGAAGAGGAAGAAGGUGCACAGGUGGAGGAGGACGAACAGAUUGAGAUCUCGGAUAUGGCUAAGAAGAGGAAGAUGAAAAAGGAGCAGGAGAUCUUUGUUGGGGGUUUGGACCGUGAUGCUGUGGAAGAGGAUAUUAAGAAGGCAUUUGAGAAAAUUGGGGAGGUUGUUGAGGUCCGGCUCCACAAAGAUUUUGCUACCAACAAGAACAAAGGCUUUGCAUUUGUGACGUUUUCCAACAAGGAGCAGGCUGUCAAGGCGCUCUUGGAAUUGAAAAAUCCUGUUAUACGUGGCAAGCGCUGUGGCAUUGCACCAAGUGAGGACAAUGACACACUAUUUUUAGGCAACAUCUGCAAUACAUGGACAAAGGAAGCUAUUAGGAGAAAACUUAAGGAUUAUGGAGUUGAUGGGGUUGAGAAUAUUACUCUUGUUGAGGACACCCAAAACGAAGGUCUGAGUCGGGGAUUUGCCUUCCUGGAGUUUUCUUGCCAUGCAGAUGCAAUGCUUGCCUACAAGCGGCUCCAAAAGCCAGAUGUUAUUUUUGGCCACCCUGACAGGACUGCCAAAGUGGCUUUUGCUGAGCCAUUACGCGAACCAGACCCAGAAGUUAUGGCCCAGGUUAAAUCGGUGUUUGUUGAUGGGCUGCCACCAUAUUGGGAUGAGGAUCGAGUCAAAGAGCAGUUUAAAGCUUAUGGAGAGAUUGAGCGUGUUGUGCUAGCUCGGAACAUGUCAACUGCCAGGAGGAAGGAUUUCGGAUUUGUAAACUUUACAACUCAUGAAGCUGCUGUUGCUUGUGUUGAAGGUGUAAAUAACACUGAAUUGGGUGAUGGGAAGUCCAAGAUGAAAGCUAGAGCUAGACUUGCCAAUCCAUUACCCAAAACUCAGGCUGUAAAGGGUGGAAUGAGUGGUGGACUUCGCAUUGGACACACUGGCAUGGGGGCUUAUUCUAGGUUUGGUAGGGGAUUUGGUAGGGGCAGGUAUUUUUCACAUAGGGCAGGCUUUCAUGGCGGGCGGGGUUUUAAUUUUCGUGGGCGUGGAAGAAGCGGAAGAUUUUCUUUUACAGCUGAGGACAAUCUAGAAACCCCACCUUCUGAAUUCUAUGGUAGGAGACCAUUUGGAUUUCGAGGUGGUAGAGCAGUUUCUACAUCAGCAAGGCAUGGUGCUUUUGAUAGAGGUCGUGGAAGAGCCUUCCCAUCCAGAAGGCUACCGUAUCCACCAAAGGAGGAGUUUGGCAGACCUUUUGGUGCUCGACACUUUGGUGAAGAUCCUUACUUUUAUGGAGAUGUUGGGCAUGGUAUCAAGCGCCCAUUUUCAAUGAUGGAACAUGAUCCUGGUUACUUGGAACCUGGGUCUAGAAUACGUCCUCGUUUUGAUCAUCCUGAUCCAUUGGCUGGUAGGAGUCACUAUCAAGAUUCAUUGGGAAUGGGUGGUCUAUAUUCACAUGAUUAUUAUGGUUCAGAUUAUGGUGGUAGCACAUAUUCAUCUCUCUAUGGAGGUGAACAUUCUGGGGGUGGCUAUUAUUAUUAGAUGUAACUUGCAACUGCGAGUAUGAUGCUGCAGGAGGAAGGGCUUUCUUGAUAAGAUGACGAUCUCAAUUUUUUGAAGGACUGAAGCAAUGGAAGACCCAAGUCUUUUUUUCUAUAAACAGUUAAAAUAAUCUGUAUUAAUUGUUGUAAGACAACAGCAGGCCAAUUCUGGGGGUUCCAGAAUCUGAUAUGAGGUGCCACUGGUUGCUUAUCUGAGGUGUGUCGGCAAUUCUAUCAUUUGUUAUACACGUGUUGACAAUCUGAAGCCGGCCAAAAAAUAUUUUUAAUAUGACAUAGAUGGAUAAACAGCAGAGCAGCAUAUGCAUUCUCUUCUGAUAUAGUUAUCAAAGUUUAUGGAACUUAUGUAGAAAGAUAGCUGACUUAAGUUAUUACUUAGAGAUUCUAUAAAGCAUAAAUAGGACCAACCUGUCCUUGCUGACUAAAUUUUUGUGCAGGGAUAACUGGAAGACUCUAAAAUCUUUGCAUAUAAAUUAGUUGAACGUUAUAUGUUUCAGAAGUUGAGUUUGUAACUGACUGAAGAUAUUAUUUAGAUUUUAUAAAGCAGAAAUAGGACCAACCUGUCCAAGCUGAUAGUAGUCUAAUUUUGUGCAGAGAUAAACCUGAAGACUUUAAAAUCCUUGCGUACAAAUUAGUUGAAUGUUAUAUAUUUCAGAAGUCUUUUAGUUUGUAGUUAGACGAUGACCAACUCAAUAAGAUGCUGAUUUCAUGUAUUGUAAAGUUGAACCCCAAACACCGCGCACCCCCACAACACACCCCCCCUCCUCUCCCCCGGGGCUCUCCCUCUUUUUCCCAAAGUUUAUUAUAUAUGAAAGAUAGCUUUUCCUUUUCUUUUUUUGAAAAAAAAAGCUACCGUUAGUAUAUUUUGAUAUUCCCUUUUUUUAUGUAAGUGGCAUAUUGGUCGUAUUGUAGCAAAACUGGACAUGAAUUUUCAUGUCAAACAUUUCUUGCUUCUAUGUUGCUUGUGAUGAACAAUUUUUAGGGCUAGGAGGAAGAGGAGGGUCUGAUUUGACAAAGGGAAAACGUGACUUGGGGUAUGUAAAAAAGGGAAUCAUGUGGCUCGAUGCUUUUAUGGAAGUGGCUACCAGGAGUCAUUGACAAUGAAAGGCAUGUGGUUUUCUUUUGGGCUGACUAGUGUUUUUUUAUAUGGGGAAAAAUCUAAUAUAAGCCACAUAUGCCUUUUUUUGUCUCAGCUACAUAAGCAUUUGAUGAUCGAUGCUAUUUCAGAUCAAAUUAUCACAUAUUGAUGAAAGCAGCUGCAAUGAUUGGAACAUCAACUCUAUUGCAGUUUGUUGACGUCAAGUAGGGAUGCGAGUGGAACUGGAAUUCAGUUAUCCCAGUCUUGAUAUAGACCAUGGUUUUCAUGUUACACUGAGCUGUAGGAGUGAGGGUGUGUGUUAUGUGAAUGCUUUAAUAUUUGCAUGCCUUCAGAUUCUUAUGCUGAUUCUAGAAUAUACUUGAAAUACAAAACUAGGACAAAGGUUAUCUAAUUUCUCUUUCUUCUGAAAUCUUGUGUUGGUGUAAUUUGUGAUUUGCACCAAUUCAACUUUAGGUCUGGACAUUUUAUGCUUUCUGCUGUAACAUACGCUUCUAUGUUGUUUUGCUUCGCACAGUUCUCUAGAUGAUUUCUCUAGUUACUGUUGUUGACUACAUUUUUGCAAUUGAUAAGGUUUAUUCUCUCUGACUACGUUUUUGAAAAAAAGAUGUCAUGGUUGCCUUUUUUUCAUUGGUUUUUAAGUUAAUGCAUGUAGCAGGUAAAUAAAAUUAUGAAAUUGCUCCGUUAGUUUAGAUUUCAUUUUUAUGAGCUCUGUGACUGCUUAUAUAUCACAAGAUUCAGGUUGUCAGACUUGUUGGCAACAGACUUAGCAUCUGGAAUGCAGUAGCAGGAGGUAGCAGAAAUCUUGUGUCAUUGUAUAAUUGAACUUCCUAGUUAUCGGGUGGGUGAUGUAAACUGUAUGUGCUUUAUUACCAGUCUUUUAGUUUUUUGUAGCACUGCCCGUUGUUGGCUAAUGGAAGCUUAAGACACUGAUUUUGUGAACUAUUGGAGUUAAUCGUGGUGUAGCCAGUUUUAAAUCUUUGUCAUCAUGUACUUGGCCCAUUCAUGAAUAUAGAUGUUUGACUUG